UUCAGUCCAAGACCCUAUAAUAGUUAUACAGAUGCUUCAGCAGAAACCUCACAGUCAUAUGAUUUCGAGUGAGGUCACAUGUUUUUAGAAUAGUUUUCAUCAGCUUUGGAACUUUAUGUCUUUUGUUGGUUAAGACCAACAACUUGCAUUCCUUCUGACAAUACAGCAUUGUUUUUCAGACGUGGGAUUCAGAGUUCUGGCUGGACUCGUAAAGGAUGGACUGCAGUAAAGGGACGUCUCAAUGUGCCCUUACAUUGUCAUUGAUAAAAUGCCUCUUAAACCUGAAUUCACUCAUUGAAGAAAGAGCCAACCUUAUAUUCAUAGUUGAAAUCCUAACUACAAUGUGAUAUGGGAGGUGGUGCCUUUGAAAUAAUAAUUGAUUAUGAAGCUAAAACCCACGUGAAUGGGAUCCUUAUAAGAAGAGAUGCGAAAGGCUGCUCCUUCUCCCAGCUCUCCACCACGUGAGAAUACAAGGAAGAAAGGCUAUAUGAAAACGAGGCAGUGGGUCCUCAUCAGACACUGGAUCUGCAGGCACCCUGAUCCUGGACUUCCAAGUUUCAGAACUGGGAGUAAUAAAUAUUUGUUGUUU